CAGUGUCCUUAGAAUGGGUUUUGGUGUAUUUAAUAUGCACCAGCUAUUACUGAUGUAAUUCUUACUUUACCAUCUGCUUCCCAAAGCUUAGGACAUCACGUGGUCCAGGGAACAAUAUUGAUUUGUUGUUGUUAUUAAAGGAUACAAAGACGUGGACUCUUUGAGGCUAUCAUCUUACUUAAGUUAAUCAGAAUUCUGCUAUUUCAUAUCCAAAAGGGUUGACAGACUCUAACCUUACCAUCUCUU
rnacentral:lncRNA from 1 species